GUGCUAAUACAUGCAAGUCGAGCGAACAGACGAGGAGCUUGCUCCUCUGACGUUAGCGGCGGACGGGUGAGUAACACGUGGAUAACCUACCUAUAAGACUGGGAUAACUUCGGGAAACCGGAGCUAAUACCGGAUAAUAUAUUGAACCGCAUGGUUCAAUAGUGAAAGACGGUUUUGCUGUCACUUAUAGGUGGAUCCGCGCCGCAUUAGCUAGUUGGUAAGGUAACGGCUUACCAAGGCAACGAUGCGUAGCCGACCUGAGAGGGUGAUCGGCCACACUGGAACUGAGACACGGUCCAGACUCCUACGGGAGGCAGCAGUAGGGAAUCUUCCGCAAUGGGCGAAAGCCUGACGGAGCAACGCCGCGUGAGUGAUGAAGGUCUUCGGAUCGUAAAACUCUGUUAUUAGGGAAGAACAAAUGUGUAAGUAACUAUGCACGUCUUGACGGUACCUAAUCAGAAAGCCACGGCUAACUACGUGCCAGCAGCCGCGGUAAUACGUAGGUGGCAAGCGUUAUCCGGAAUUAUUGGGCGUAAAGCGCGCGUAGGCGGUUUUUUAAGUCUGAUGUGAAAGCCCACGGCUCAACCGUGGAGGGUCAUUGGAAACUGGAAAACUUGAGUGCAGAAGAGGAAAGUGGAAUUCCAUGUGUAGCGGUGAAAUGCGCAGAGAUAUGGAGGAACACCAGUGGCGAAGGCGACUUUCUGGUCUGUAACUGACGCUGAUGUGCGAAAGCGUGGGGAUCAAACAGGAUUAGAUACCCUGGUAGUCCACGCCGUAAACGAUGAGUGCUAAGUGUUAGGGGGUUUCCGCCCCUUAGUGCUGCAGCUAACGC
rnacentral:rRNA from 1 species